rnacentral:rRNA from 1 species
CUAUCGCCUGAAGAGGGGUUUGCGUCUGAUUAGGCAGUUGGUGAGGUAACGGCCCACCAAACCUACGAUCAGUAGCCGGUCUGAGAGGAUGAACGGCCACACUGGAACUGAGACACGGUCCAGACUCCUACGGGAGGCAGCAGUGGGGAAUCUUCCGCAAUGGACGAAAGUCUGACGGAGCAACGCCGCGUGAGUGAUGACGGCCUUCGGGUUGUAAAGCUCUGUGAUCGGGGACGAAUGGCUGGUAUGCUAAUACCAUAUCAGAGUGACGGUACCCGAAUAGCAAGCCACGGCUAACUACGUGCCAGCAGCCGCGGUAAUACGUAGGUGGCAAGCGUUGUCCGGAAUUAUUGGGCGUGAAGCGCGCGCAGGCGGCUUCUUAAGUCCAUCUUAAAAGUGCGGGGCUUAACCCCGUGAUGGGAUGGAAACUGGGAGGCUGGAGUAUCGGAGAGGAAAGUGGAAUUCCUAGUGUAGCGGUGAAAUGCGUAGAGAUUAGGAAGAACACCGGUGGCGAAGGCGACUUCCUGGACGACAACUGACGCUGAGG